CGACUAAUUGGGGUUGCGCCUAUCGGAUAAUAAUAAUCGGAUCGAAUUUCGCUGAUAGAACAACAAGGAUUGUACGAAUUCUUCUGCGUAUGGUCCACAGGCGGACGAUAUUACGGGUAAAAUCGGGAGGUGAAGUGCCUUUUACUCUUCGCGCUUCAACUUCAUCCUUUUUUUUGAAAAAUAUAUAGGCCAUCCUUUCGUUAGUGCUAAUAUAGUGGAGCUGUGAAUUGUGUGUGCGCGUUUAGAAUUUGGCCUGCAUUAUUGCUGUGGAUUGUACCGAAUCCUUCUGAUGUGGCCUCUCGUUUUAUCUUGGAAGGAUAAGGUGGAUUAGACUCUGACAGUAACAAUGCGGUCAGCUAGAAGUAAUUUCAGGCGGAUGACCAUAUAUUUUACCUUCCAAUCAACUUAUCUUUGACAUGGACGGGGUGAUAUAUCACCAACUAGGAGAAGAGGGCAUGUUCCUUCCCUUCAAUUCUUUGCCAACAAUGUCACACGGAAAAUGUAUUUAAAAGGGUGGUAUUUGUUAUGAGGGGCUGUCUGUUAUCAGUUAUCAAAGGGAUCCGUGGUAGACAGCUAUCAGUUAGUGUAAAUUGGUGGUGGUAAUAGAGGCCACAGAAGAAUUUUACUAACACCAAGACAUAGAUGGUUUAUAUCUCGAUCACCUACCUUCUAUUCUUUCCCCAUUGGUGAGGCAGUCCUGAGAUGAGAGGCUAGUUACAUGCAAAAUAACUGGCAGUGUUAUUUGCUAAUCAAGGAUCUACUCUCGUGCUACUUUCUGCACUGUCGUUAACUGAAAAUGCAAAGAACUCAACAUGAGUUCCUUGUUACACAGGUUGGUGAUCAGUUGAUCAGCAUAGCUCAAAUCUACGCUGUAACAACAGCUGGGUUCCGCAUGUUACUUGGACCCAUACAAUCCUCCAAUGAUUGCCUCCAAAGUUGCAUUCACCAGUCAGAGUUCAGGUGACGCUACUCCACUUUGAAGUACUGCUUCGAGGUAUCUUCGGUCACUAAGAAGUCGCUAUAAUGUGUUCUUCAGGCUAGCUACCUUCCGUAGAUCGAUAUUGUCUUUACAGGGAGACUUUUACCUACACUUUUGUACAACAUAUGCUCUACAAAAGCCUUUAAAUAGCAGGUACUGUCACAAGGACAACGGCAGUGACGCCUUUGGGAAUAUUCUCUGUCCUGGUGCUAGGAUGGCUAGGGGAUCAUACGUGUGUUUCCUCCGUUCAAAUGUCUCCCACCUCGCUCCAAAGUGGGCUUUCCACUGCUGCUGUGUGGUGUAGGGUGCCAGAUACUGUUUCAUCCCAAUAUCGGCCUCUUCACAGAACUCAACAAUUUGGUUGUUCAGGUUCAUUGCAUGUGCAACGCUGCCGUGACCUGAGAGAGACGGUGCUGAAGAAAGGAACCCCACUAGGAUCUUGCCGAAGACUUCCUUAGCAAAUCUUUGGAUUGAGCUCCUUGGGAUUAGAAGAUUCAACCAAGGGUGUGGAACUUCCCAGAGGCCUUGUGCUCUCAGCUUCACCUCGGAGGCGUGCACCCUGUCCAAGAACUCCAGUUACUAUAAAGGGAUGAUGAAGUCACAAGUCAACAUCGCGGUGCAAACGGAAAUAAUGAACUCACCUGUUCCAUGUUAUCUGCUUCGUCACUGUUGAAGUUCUUGGUUAGCUCGAGGCAGUAUAGAACCCUUGCAUCUGACUGAAAACGGCUUGCUUGGACUGGGUCCUGUGGCUUGAAGGACGUCCUCCAGUUGUUGAGGAUGCCUGUCCUGUUUAUGAUGACAAAACCUUCAAUGUAGUCAAAGGUGUUCUCUGCCAUGAUCAGCAUCUCCUGGUCCUCGGUGAAGCUUACAAAAUCCGAGCUCGAGAGCAAUCCUUGCUCUGGUGAUGAUCCCAAACUGACCGAGACCGCCGAGAGCAGCGUAGAAGAGAUCAGAGUUCUCCUCGGGCGAGCAGGUAACAACGUCUCCUCUUCCUGCAUUUUGGUAUAGUCACGACAUGGG